AGAGUUUGUAUCCUGCGUCAGAUGAAGCUGGCGGCGUGCUUAACACAUAGCAAGUCGACGAAGACACUCUUUUAGAUUCUUCGGGAAGGAAGAAAUGUGACUGAGUGGCGGACGGGUGAGUAACGCGUGGGCAACCUGCCCCAUACAGGGGGAGUAACAGCCGGAAACGGCUGCUAAAACCGCAUAAGCGCACAAGGGCCGCAUGGCCUGGUGUGAAAAACUCCGGUGGUAUGGGAUGGGCCCGCGUCUGAUUAGCUAGUUGGCGGGGGAGAGGCCCACCAAGGCGACGAUCAGUAGCCGACCUGAGAGGGUGGCCGGCCACAUUGGGACUGAGACACGGCCCAAACUCCUACGGGAGGCAGCAGUGGGGAAUAUUGCACAAUGGGGGAAACCCUGAUGCAGCGACGCCGCGUGAGCGAAGCAGUAUUUCGGUAUGUAAAGCUCUAUCAGCAGGGAAGAAAAAUGACGGUACCUGAGUAAGAAGCACCGGCUAAAUACGUG
rnacentral:rRNA from 1 species